rnacentral:rRNA from 1 species
UACGUAGGGGGCAAGCGUUGUCCGGAUUUAUUGGGCGUAAAGAGCGUGUAGGCGGCCUGACAGGUCUGCUGUGAAAACUCGAGGCUCAACCUCGAGAUGUCGGCGGAAACCGUCUGGCUAGAGUCCGGAAGAGGAGAGCGGAAUUCCUGGUGUAGCGGUGAAAUGCGCAGAUAUCAGGAGGAACACCCGUGGCGAAGGCGGCUCUCUGGGACGGUACUGACGCUGAGACGCGAAAGCGUGGGGAGCGAACAGG